UUUGAAACAAAGGACUAGUAGCUUAGACUUGGAUAUUUAGAGAGCUGACGGUUGGUGCAAGUCAGUCGAAGAGUUAAGUGAACUCCCCUUUUAGUCUUGAGAGUGAAUGAAAAGUAAUUCUCGACGGGUCACCCUCGUUAACAGUGCAAAGCGGGCAAUCUUAAUGGAUUGCUAAUGUGGGUGGUACCGCGGGAAUGUUAAAUAAACUCUCGUCCCUGAU
rnacentral:ncRNA from 1 species